UACAGAGGUCUCAAGCGUUGUUCGGAAUCACUGGGCGUAAAGGGUGUGUAGGCGGUGUGUUAAGUCAGAUGUGAAAGCCCGGGGCUCAACCUCGGAACUGCAUCCGAUACUGGCAUGCUAGAGAAUUGGAGAGGAGUCUAGAAUUCACGGUGUAGCAGUGAAAUGCGUAGAUAUCGUGAGGAAUACCAAGUGCGAAGGCAGGACUCUGGACAUUUUCUGACGCUGAGAACACGAAGGCCAGGGGAGCAAACAGG
rnacentral:rRNA from 1 species